GCCAGCCUCUGUUCCCUAAGGAGCUCCCCCAAAACAUUCAUGCUUGACUGAUGGUGAAUAUUCUGCCAGUGUUUGACGAAGUUUUUUUUAAGAGCCAAAUUAAAGUAACAAAAAGAGAAAUAAAUAACACAGAACAGAAUAUGCAAAAGCAAAAGAUGAACUCACAGGGCCCCCAUGUCUGAGCCACAAUUCUGUCCCCUGAAGAAAAGCGUCAACCCUGGCCAAUUACGCUGACUCUGCUAAACUUCUGGAAUCCCAUUCUACCCGGAGGGAAGGCGAAGCUGCCCAGAGAAAAGAACCUCCAAGAAGCAAGGACCAACUGCACCUAACCAGCCGCCCACACGAAGGAACUCAGCAAAGGUCACUAAUGAGCUCUCAAGGUAGCCUUUGAGGGGGAGUGUUUUACGAUCUGCUGCUACUAAACUGACCCAAGACUGAGAGUCAUGGCUUGAGGAAAGGAGAACAA